GUGCAGCAGUCGCGAAACCUCCGCAAUGCACGCAAGUGUGACGGGGGAUUCCAAGUGUUAUUGCAUUUUGUGUGAUAACUUUUCUUAAAUGUAAAUAGUUUGAGGAAUAAGGGCUGGGUAAGACGGGUGCCAGCCGCCGCGGUAAUACCCGCAGCUCAAGUGGUCUGGAGUUUUAUUGGGUCUAAAAGCGUUCGUAGCUGGGUCUAUAAGUUCUCUGUGAAAAUCUAACGGCUUAACCGUUAGGCGUGCAGAGGAUACUGUAGACCUCGAGACUGGGAUGGGUCAAGGGUACUCUCGGGGUAGGGGUGAAAUCCAAUAAUCCUGAGGGGACCACCUGUGGCGAAGGCGCUUGGCUAGAACAGGUCUGACAGUGAGGGACGAAAGCUAGGGGAGCGAACGGGAUUAGAUACCCCUGUAGU
rnacentral:rRNA from 1 species